AUGACAACCGACAGCCCGCCCGGCCCCAAGCGCAAGCGCGAUUCCGAGCCCACCUCCCUCGUGUCCCUCGGCGACGACAUGCUCGCCGAGAUCCUCAGCCGCCUCCCGUCGCUGCCCUCGCUCGCCAGCGCCGCCCUCUCCUGCCCGCGCCUGUGCGGCGUCGCCUCCUCCCCUGCCGUCUUGAACCCCUUCCUUUCCCGGGCUCCGUUACUCGGCUACUUCGUGUCGGUCACCGACGGCGCCGUCCCCACCUUCCACCGCGCGCUCCUCCGCCGCGACCGCCACCUCGCCGCCGUCGUCCGCCGCGGCGACUUCCAUCUCACGGAUCUCGAAUACGAUGGGCGCCUCAUGGACUGCCGCCACGGCCUCCUACUCCUCAGCAGCCACAGUCAGCUGGUGGUGUUCGACCCCGUCUCCCGCUCACGACUGCGUAUACCUAUACCCGACAACCACAUCUCCCGCGACUCGCUCCAUUGCUUCCUGCCGGCGUGCGGCGGCGGUCAAACCCCCUUCAGUGUGCUCUCCCUGGAGAAGAAGGGCGGCAGGGUGCGCGCACGCGUCUACAGCUCCCGCACGGGCGAGUGGUGCUCCCACUCGUGGGCGCCCAAAGGUAUUAAUGGACCGAGGGAAUCCAAGCUCGGCUGGCCCAUGCACGCCGGUGGGCGCAUCUAUUGGAGGAGCAUUACAGGAGAUCAGCUCACCGCGCUCGAUGUCGGCGCCAUGGAGUUCUCCCACGUCGAGCUCCCACAUAACCUGCACUAUGAGCCAUGGUCGUACGCCGUAGGAGAAACGGAGGACGGCACAACCUGCCUCGUGGCCAUGAGUCGCAAGCUCGUCCUGCAGGUAUGGUUCCGCAUGGAGGAGGACAAGUCCUGGGAGCUACAGUUGGAGGUGGAUGCUUCCAAAUGGUAUCUGCUUCGAGGCGGAGUGCAGAAGGUCUGCGAUGUGACCGCCGGCGUCGUGCUGCUCUCCAUGGGCACGAAGAAUGGCGGGCUCCACUAUUACGGGUUUCGCCUGAAGAACGCCCUCCGACCAGGAGAAUGGGCACGGACGAUGGCGCUCUUCAUGGGCACGGAGAAUGGCGGCCUUAAUGUCCGGGAAUGCACCACCAGGCCCGAGUUGGAGGCAGACUUCUUCACAUUCGAUGCACGGGUGCACCCCUAUUUCAUGGCAUGGCCACACCCCACCCUCAAGGCUAGUAGCUCUAACACGAAGGAAACAAGUCUGAAGGAUCAAGAAGCUGGUGGCUCGAAGAAGAAGAAAACAAGCAUGAAAGAUCAAGAAGCUGGCAGCUCCAAAUAG
rnacentral:rRNA from 1 species